rnacentral:rRNA from 1 species
CUACGGGGGGCAGCAGUGAGGAAUAUUGGUCAAUGGGCGCGAGCCUGAACCAGCCAUCCCGCGUGCAGGAUGACGGCCCUAUGGGUUGUAAACUGCUUUUCUAUGCCAAGAAACCUGAUUACGUGUAAUCAGUUGCCGGUAGCAUAGGAAUGAGCAUCGGCUAACUCGGUUCCAGCAGCCGCGGUAAUACGGAGGAUGCAAGCGUUAUCCGGAUUCAUUGGGUUUAAAGGGUGCGCAGGUGGGCUUGUAAGUCAGUGGUGAAAUGCUGCCGCUUAACGGUAGAACUGCCAUUGAUACUGCGAGUCUUGAGUAUGGUUGAGGUAGGCGGAAUGUGUUGUGUAGCGGUGAAAUGCAUAGAUAUGACACAGAACGCCAAUUGCGAAGGCAGCUUACUAAGCCAUUACUGACGCUGAAGCACGAAAGCGUGGGGAGCGAACAGGAUUAGAUACCCGAGUAGUC